ensembl:lncRNA
GGGUAGGUUUGUAGCGUCUGGCCAGUGAUAGUGUAGUAUGAGGUGGGUAGGUUUGUAGCGUCUGGCCAGUCAUAGUGUAGUAUGAGGUGGGUAGGUUUGUAGCGUCUGGCCAGUGAUAGUGUAGUAUGGGGUGGGUAGGUUUGUAGCGUUUGACCAGUCAUAGUGUAGUAUGAGGUGGGUAGGUUUGUAGUGGUUGACCAGUCAUAGUGUAGUAUGAGGUGGGUAGGUUUGUAGCGGUUGACCAGUCAUAUUGUAGUAUGAGGUGGGUAGGUUUGAAGCGGCUGAUUAGUGUGGAGUGCUUCAGGGCACCACAGGAUUAAACUGCAUGAUCUCUCUACCAGUUCAGUUCACCUGAUGGUGGUGAAUCCCUCUAUAGCACAUAUUACCACUCUUCUAUUUUAGAUAUAAAAUUGAACCUUUAUUUAACUAGGCAAGUCGGUUAAGAACACAUUCUUAUUGACAAUGACGGCCUACUGGGGAACACCUAACCCUGCCGAUGCUGGGCCAAAUUGUGCUCCGCCGUAUGGGACUCCCAAUCACGACCUGUUGUGAUACAGCCUGGAAUCGAACCAGGGUCUGUAGUGACACCUCUAGAACUGAGAGGCAGUGCCUUAGACCACUGCGCCACUCAGGAGAUAUUUGAAGGAUGCAGGCUAGUUCAUUGGUUCAAAUGUUUGAGAUGUUUUCAAAACCUAUUUUCAAUCUGAAUGGUAGAAGAUAAAUAGGGCCAUGAUUAUUCCCUGACCAUGUCACGUGACCAGGGACAAACUCCUAGCCCCUAGCUAGUUAUGACUCAUUAACUACAAUUAUCGGCUAGAGUUUUUCCUGGUCUGAUGACAUGGUCAGCAGGAAAGACUCAGCAUCAUUAUUUCAGCACCAUAACGUCUUCUCUGAAAACGUUUCAAAAUGUUUGCUCCAAAUGGGAGCUAAUGAACAUGACCCUGUCCGUUGUGCAGGGAUCUAAUCAUGUGACGG